rnacentral:rRNA from 1 species
GCGAACGCUGGCGGCAGGCUCAACACAUGCAAGUCGAGCGCCCCGCAAGGGGAGCGGCAGACGGGAGAGUAACACGUGGGAACAUACCUUUUGGUUCGGAACAACUGAGGGAAACUUCAGCUAAUACCGGAUAAGCCCUUACGGGGAAAGAUUUAUCGCCGAAAGAUUGGCCCGCGUCUGAUUAGCUAGUUGGUGAGGUAACGGCUCACCAAGGCGACGAUCAGUAGCUGGUCUGAGAGGAUGAUCAGCCUCACUGGGACUGAGACACGGCCCAGACUCCUACGGGAGGCAGCAGUGGGGAAUAUUGGACAAUGGGGGCAACCCUGAUCCAGCCAUGCCGCGUGAGUGAUGAAGGCCUUAGGGUUGUAAAGCUCUUUUGCCCGGGAAGAUAAUGACGGUACCGGGAGAAUAAGCCCCGGCUAACUUCGUG